AAUAUUGAUGUAUGUAUUAUUU
rnacentral:sRNA from 1 species